rnacentral:rRNA from 1 species
AUUGAACGCUGGCGGCAGGCCUAACACAUGCAAGUCGAGCGGAUGAAGGGAGCUUGCUCCUGGAUUCAGCGGCGGACGGGUGAGUAAUGCAUAGGAAUCUGCCUGGUAGUGGGGGAUAACGUCCGGAAACGGGCGCUAAUACCGCAUACGUCCUGCGGGAGCAAGUGGGGGAUCUUCGGACCUCACGCUAUCAGAUGAGCCUAGGUCGGAUUAGCUAGUUGGUGGGGUAAAGGCCUACCAAGGCGACGAUCCGUAACUGGUCUGAGAGGAUGAUCAGUCACACUGGAACUGAGACACGGUCCAGACUCCUACGGGAGGCAGCAGUGGGGAAUAUUGGACAAUGGGCGAAAGCCUGAUCCAGCCAUGCCGCGUGUGUGAAGAAGGUCUUCGGAUUGUAAAGCACGUUAAGUUGGGAGGAAGGGCAGUAAGUUAAUACCUUGCUGUUUUGACGUUACCAACAGAAUAAGCACCGGCUAACUUCGUG